rfam:Triticum aestivum genome assembly, contig: Triticum_aestivum_CS42_TGACv1_scaffold_405753_5BL
CUAUUACUCCCUCCGUCCGGAAAUACUUGUCAUCAAUCAAAAUGAAUAAAAAGAGAUGUAUAUAGAUGUAUUUUAGUUCUAGACACAUCCUUUUUUGUCCAUUCUGAUGACAAGUAUUUUCGGACGGAGGGAGUACUAU